CCCUGGGUGGCGUAAAUGGUCAAUGCACUUGGCUGCUAACCAAGAUGUUGGCAGAUAAGUCCACCCAGAGG
rnacentral:tRNA from 1 species